rnacentral:lncRNA from 10 species
CUGGAUGUGGAGGAGGAUGACAUUGAGAAUCUCUUAGAGGUGGUUCAUGAGGAAUGGGUUAAUGAGGAGUCAUUGGAACUGAUACAGGAACAUGUAGCUGAAGAAGAGGGACACUUGACAUUCAGGGACGUGGCCAUAGAAUUCUCUCAGGAGGAGUGGAAAUGCCUGGACCCUGUGCAGAAGGCUUUAUACAGGGAUGUGAUGUUGGAGAACUACAGGAACCUGGUCUCCCUGGGUAAGGAUAAUGCCCCUCCAGAAGUUGGGGUCUGCCCUUAGUAUCUCUGCAUUUUCCCUUGUGUGCCUCUUGGGAGCCCCUGCAUUGCUUGACUGAGAUUGAAACCCUGUUGACUUGGCUGGGCACGGUGGCUCAUGCCUGUAAUCCCAGCACUUUGGGAGGCUGAGGUGGGUGGAUUGCUUGAGGUCAGGAGUUCGAGACCAACCUGACCAAAAUGAUAAAACCCCAUCUGUACUAAAAAUACAAAAAUUAGCCAGGUGUCACGGUGCAUGCCUGUAAUCUCAGCUACACGGGAGGCUGAGGCAAGAAGAAUUGCUUGCACCCAGGAGGCAGAGGU